GACCGCGUAGCUCAGUUGGCAGAGCAUUGGGCUAGUAUUCCAUGGGUCGUAGGUUCGAUUCCCACCGUGGCCA
rnacentral:tRNA from 1 species